GACGAACGCUGGCGGCGUGCUUAACACAUGCAAGUCGAACGGAAAGGCCCUGCUUUUGUGGGGUGCUCGAGUGGCGAACGGGUGAGUAACACGUGAGUAACCUGCCCUCGACUUUGGGAUAACUUCAGGAAACUGGGGCUAAUACCGGAUAGGAGCUCCUGCUGCAUGGUGGGGGUUGGAAAGUUUCGGAGGUUGGGGAUGGACUCGCGGCUUAUCAGCUUGUUGGUGGGGUAGUGGCUUACCAAGGCUUUGACGGGUAGCCGGCCUGAGAGGGUGACCGGCCAAAUUGGGACUGAGAUACGGCCCAGAGUCCUACGGGAGGCAGCAGUGGGGAAUAUUGCACAAUGGGCGGAAGCCUGAUGCAGCAACGCCGCGUGCGGGAUGACGGCCUUCGGGUUGUAAGCCGCUUUCGCCUGUGACGAAGCGUGAGUGACGGUAAUGGGCAAAGAAGCACCGGCUAACUACGUG
rnacentral:rRNA from 1 species